UACGUAGGGGGCCAGCGUUGCUCGGAAUUACUGGGCGUAAAGGGUUCGUAGGUGGUGCGGCAAGUUGGAAGUGAAAUCUCUGGGCUUAACUCAGAGGCUGCUUUCAAAACUGCCGUGCUCGAGUGCGGGAGAGGCCGGUGGAAUUGCAGGUGUAGCGGUGAAAUGCGCAGAUAUCAGGAGGAACACCCGUGGCGAAGGCGGCUCUCUGGGACGGUACUGACGCUGAGACGCGAAAGCGUGGGGAGCGAACAGG
rnacentral:rRNA from 1 species